CAAACGUCGCUGGGACUGGACUUGCAGAGAGGUUAAUAGGUGUUGCUGCACAAGAAAACACUAGGGGCAGAUGAAAGGGCGGAAGCCGAUAGAGCGGAUCCUCCACGCCGGGCGAGGCGGCGGCACCGCCAGAGAAUACGUCCGCAGCAGCCCAUCCGGCACCGCAUCGCCGUCUCCUUCCCCAUCCGCAAGGCAAGGCCUCUCCUCUGCCUCUGCGCUGAACCCUAGUUUCACUGAAUAAGUCCAUCUUUAUACGGCUGGAUGCCCUACGAACCCCAUUGUUUCUUGGUUUGGUUCGGCCCAUCUCUUAAUUAAUUCCCAUAAGGAAAACGUUUAUAAUCAUCCGACUUAUCUCUCUCUCUUUUAAGCCUCCUUCUCUAUGCGCCACGUGUGUGCGUCAGGCUGCGGCUGCCCACCGCUUCGCCCCAACCUUAUCUUAUCUCUAACGCAGCUCCUCCACUCGUUUCUUCUUCUUUCUUCCUUUUACAUCCCAUCGCCAAGAGAUUAGCCAUGGCGAGCAGCCGAGCACCACCACAACAGCUAGGAAAACGGAAGAGUUAGACGCCGGCCGUCGGCACCAACAGCCGGAGCUCCUCCGUUGCAUCGCUGGAGGUGGCAUAGCGCACAUGGAGGGGAGCCAUGAUAAGGACCAUCACAACAACGGGGAACCGGGAGGUGAUGCCGGUGAUACAAAUGGCGCUCGUCGAUGAACGCCGGUGCUGCAAUGCACCAACGCGUCCAUGGCCGCCGUACUCGAGCACCGGCGGCGGAGCUGCAAUGGAGCACUCGACGCCGGCGGCGGAGCUACAAUGGAGCUGCUUGGCUCAGGCGGCGGAGCUUCAAUGGAGUGCUCGGCGUAGGCGGCGGAUAUACCUGGCCAUUCCUGGGGCUGGGCCGGGCUUCAGGCCGGGCCAACCAAAGCCCGGCGCAAAAAACCCAGGCCCGAGCCCGGCCCGGCCCGGCCGUCGGGCCUAAAAAUCAGGCCCGAGCCCGGCCCAUCACACCAAAAGCCCGUCGGGCCUCGGGCCACGGGCCGGGCCUCUUCCUUAAAUGGCAAAAUCGAUGGACCCGGGCCCGGCCCGGCCCGGGCUUCGGGCUCAAAACCUAGGCCUGAGCCCAGCCCAUGGACAAGGUCGGGCCGGGCCGGGUCGGGCUUUUUCGGGCCGGGUCAGGUCGGGCCGACCGAGCCGGGCUGCCCAUGGCCAGGUAUAGCGGCGGAGCUCCAAUGGAGCGCUCGACGCCGGCGGCAGAGCUGCAAUGGAACCGCUCGGCGCAGGCGGCGGAGCUGCAAUGGAGUCGCUUGGCGUAGGCGGCAGAGUUUCAAUGGAGCGCUCGACGCCGGCAACGGAGCUGCAAUGGAGCAGCUCGGCGCAGGUGGCGGAGCUGCAAUGAAGCUGCAAGUCGCCGGCUACGGAGCUGCAAUGGAGCGCUUGUCGACGCCUCCCCCCUGCUCCGAUGCACCACUCCCGCGACUGGUCCCGGUGCUCCAGCGCUGCGCUUGUAAGUGGCUCAGUGCAGCGUCGUUGGCGGCUCUUGGGGGCAGCCCGUUGCAGUGAAGCGCUGCUGCCAUGCCUAGAGUCUAUGGUGUUGCCAUGACCGGCGGCGGUAAUGUGUUUGCAAGGUGAGGAACGAGCUGCGCAGAGCCUGGUGCUGCGAGCGAGCGCGGCAUGGCGGCUGCGACUGCGAGCUAGAUCAGGGCCGCUCGCUGGAACUCACCGCGUCUAUCUCAGGAAUCGCGUGUGCAUGGGGAUUUUUUUGAAUUGGCUGCUACGCGAGGAAGACGAGGCCACGCGCGGCGUUCUAUUGUGUCAGAGCGACGCGGUCUAGGUUGACUAAUCCAACGUAUCGAGGGAUUUGAUCGGAUGGUUGGGGACCCGACUAAAAUAUAUCGGAUGAUUCCUAGCAGCCGCCUUCUCAUAAUCCUACGAGAUCAUCUCCAUGGACCGAUUUGUUCCCGCUAGUUGGUCGUUUUUUUAUGUUGAGAGGGGCCCUGAAAUGAUCUGCAUGUCUCCGUUAGGCCUUCCACUAUGUAGGCCAUAAUCGAUGCCAAAUUUGCUUUUUGACA